GACGAACGCUGGCGGCGUGCUUAACACAUGCAAGUCGAACGGAAAGGCCCUGCUUUUGUGGGGUGCUCGAGUGGCGAACGGGUGUGUAACCCGUGAGUAACCUGCCCUUGACUUUGGGAUAACUUCAGGCAACUGGGGCUAAUACCGGAUAGGAGCUCCUGCUGCAUGGUGGGGGUUGGAAAGUUUCGGCGGUUGGGGAUGGACUCGCGGCUUAUCAGCUUGUUGGUGGGGUAGUGGCUUACCAAGGCUUUGACGGGUAGCCGGCCUGAGAGGGUGACCGGCCACAAUGGGACUGAGAUACGGCCCAGACUCCUACGGGAGGCAGCAGUGGGGAAUAUGGCACAAUGGGCGGAAGCCUGAUGCAGCAACGCCGCGUGCGGGAUGACGGCCUUCGGGUUGUAAACCGCUUUCGCCUGUGACGAAGCGUGAGUGACGGUAAUGGGUAAAGAAGCACCGGCUAACUACGUG
rnacentral:rRNA from 1 species